UUAUCUCUGUAAAGGCCUUAGUUCUCCAUAUUUAUGAGUUUUUCCUUUUGGACAGUAAGGGAACGCAAAAAAAGAAAAGAAAGAAAAACGACUCCAGCUCUUCCUUGGUGACACAAUCUUGAUUUAGUGCUUUGAGGUUUUGGGCUUGGUCUGGGUGGCUCUGUGAUUUUUGAAUUAGGCUUGGCGGCUUUAACACUUUUGGAAUUUAGCCUUGGAAGCUUGGAGAAUUUUAGUCAUGGCACCUGGUCGUCGCACCACUCGAUCUACUGCUCAAAGUCAACAAGUUGAACCAGUCAUUGAUCCUCCUGCUCCACAUUCACAAGUUGUUCGCACUACUCGGUCGAGUAUAGAGAAUCAACAAGUUGAACCAGUCAUUGAUCCUCCUGCUCCACCUACACAAGUUAUUCGCACUACUCAGUUGAGUUUAGAGAAUCAACAAGUUUGUCGCACCACUCGAUCUACGGUACUAAGUCAACGACCUAGAACCACCGCACAAUCUAAUGUAGAGAGAGAACACCCUCAAGGCUCCACACACCCUACUGUACAGGGUGAAUAAGUCAAUGUGAUGACCCAUUU